ACGUCUCUCCUCUUGAUAAGCACGACUGAGGGAGACGGUUCCUGCUAGGACUCGAAUUCAAAGUGCAAUCUUUAUCUCGUCGGGUUGUAAUUAUCAUGAAGAUAAUUAUUGCUUUUCUGUAUUUUGAAUGGGUUAGGAUACUGGUGUUUCACGCUUUUGUUUCCUUCUUUGCAGGCGGACGUUCGGUGAGACGAAGAUGACG
rnacentral:lncRNA from 1 species